AUGCACGCUGGCGGCGUGCCUAAUACAUGCAAGUCGAGCGAACAGACGAGGAGCUUGCUCCUCUGACGUUAGCGGCGGACGGGUGAGUAACACGUGGAUAACCUACCUAUAAGACUGGGAUAACUUCGGGAAACCGGAGCUAAUACCGGAUAAUAUAUUUAACCGCAUGGUUCAAUAGUGAAAGACGGUUUUGCUGUCACUUAUAGAUGGAUCCGCGCCGCAUUAGCUAGUUGGUAAGGUAACGGCUUACCAAGGCAACGAUGCGUAGCCGACCUGAGAGGGUGAUCGGCCACACUGGAACUGAGACACGGUCCAGACUCCUACGGGAGGCAGCAGUAGGGAAUCUUCCGCAAUGGGCGAAAGCCUGACGGAGCAACGCCGCGUGAGUGAUGAAGGUCUUCGGAUCGUAAAACUCUGUUAUUAGGGAAGAACAAAUGUGUAAGUAACUAUGCACGUCUUGACGGUACCUAAUCAGAAAGCCACGGCUAACUACGUG
rnacentral:rRNA from 1 species